ensembl:lncRNA
GGCCAACUAAAGGUUCAAAUGGUGUCAGUCAUGUUAUGUCUGUGAAUUGUUCAUGCGUGGUUAUCCUUGUUUAUGUGAGAUCUUGAAUAUGAAAGUGUAGCAUAUGGGAGAAUGUGUGGGUGUGUGUGAUCUAUUCCUGUGUGUUGACUUUGAAGUGUUCCGUGUGAACUCUCAGGAUCAUCUAGAGCCGUCUGUACCACCCGUCUGUAUUCCCUGAACUUAAACUGUGUCCUGCAGUGGGAUUGUCCACAGGCGAACGCUACCACCACCUACACCGUCCAAACUAAGACUCAGGGGUGUGUCUGACUCCUCAUUGCUCACUAUUGACUUAAUGGACUAGUAUCUAGCUCUAAGGUUCCUCUCAGCUAAAUGCUGUUCUAAGAUUCGGGGUUCUGUCUGUCUGCUGUCUCCAUUGACCUAAUCGAUCUAGCUCAAAUAGUAUGCUGUAUUACUGUUCUGCUAUUUUCUAGAAUUGGUAGUGAAUUGUUUCCUAGAAAACCACUACAUUGACAUAUCUUCUGUAAUGUUUGUUCUGUGUGUAACUAUGUUAGUCAUUUUAAGUAGAGUAUUUUUUAAAUCAAGUCAUUGAAGGUUGUAAUCAGCACUGGGUUUCUGAUUAGUCAUUUACUUUACAAUAAGCUAAUAUGGAUAACUGUUGUGUGUAUGAGGGGAAAGCUAGCCUAGAAAGGAAAUGGAAAGCAAAUUUAUUAGGUGAACAAAGCGCUCUAGCGAUGCGGAGAGGAGCCGGCGAGAGGGGUAGCGUGAGAGCGGAGAUUUUCAAACUUGUGGUUUUUGCAGAGAAACCUCAAAGGGUUUUAAUCAGAGGGAUGAAUCAGUCACUCGAGUCCAUGGUUGGUUGACUUUAUGGGUAGAUGGGUUCCGAUAGAUGGGCACUAUUGUUUUCUACCACAGCCGUGAAAACACCCUGGCUGCUCCUCUCCCCUGCCACCUGGUUUCAGUCAUAACCAUCACCACCCAUGUCGUCCAACAACCAGUGUGUGUCUGUUAUCUUGUGUGGGUAUUGCAUAUUUUCAGAAAGGACAUUUCCACAUACAUUUUAGAAGAUCGGAAUAAUAAAUACUACAUAGAAACAUACACAAACACGGAGAUUAACUAUGUGUACAGUAUAUAGUACCAGUCAAGUUUGUACACCACCUCAUUCCAGGGUUUUUCUUGAUUGACUAUUUUCUACAUUGUAGAAUAGUGAAGACAUCAAAACUAUGAAAUAACACAUGGAAUCAUGUAGUAACCCAAAGUGUUAAACGAAUCAAAAUAUAUUUGAGAUUCUUCAAAAUAGCCACUCUUUGCCUUGAUAACAGCUUUGCAUUCUCUCAACCAACUUUGAGGUAGACACCUGGAAUGCAUUUCAAUUAACAGGUGUGCCUUGUUAAAAGUACAUUUGUGGAAUGUCUUUCUUUCCUUAAUGCAUUUGAGCCAAUCAGUUGUGUUGUGACAAGGUAGGGGUGGUAUACAGAGGACGGCACUAUUUGGUAAAAUACCAUGUCCAUAUUAUGGCAAGAACAGCUCACAUAUGCAAAGAGAAACGACAGUCCAUUACAUUAAGAUAUGAAGGUCAGUCAAUCUGGAAAAUUUCAAGGACUUUGAAAGCAAAAACCAUCAAGCGCUAUGAUGAAACUGGCUCUCAUGAGGACCGCCACAGGAAAGGAAGACCCAGAGUUACCUCUGCUGCAGAGGAUAAGUUCAUUAGUUACCAGCCACAGAAAUUGCAGCCCAAAUAAAUGUUUCACUGAGUUCACGUAACAGACCGAUCUCGACAUCAACUGUUCAGAGGAGACUGCAUGAAUCAGGCCUUCAUGGCCGAAUUGCUGCAAAGAAACCAUGAUUUCCGGAUGUGUGGUUCCCACCGUGCAGCAUGGAGGUGUGAUGGUGUGCUUUGCUGGUGACACUGAUUUAUUUAGACUUCAAGGCACACUUAACCAGCAUGGCUACCACAGCAUUUUGCAGUGAUACCAUCCCAACUGGUUUGCGCUUAGUGGGACUAUCAUUUGUUUUUCAACAGAACAAUGACCCAAAACACACCUCCAGGCUGUAUAAGGGUGAUUUGACCAAGAAGGAGAGUGCUGCAUCAGAUGACCUAGCCUCCACAAUCCCCCGACCUCAACCCAGUUUGGGAUGAGUUGGACCGCAGAGUCAAAUCAAAUGUUAUUUGUCACAUACACAUGGUUAGCAGAUGUUAAUGCGAUUGUAGCGAAAUGCUUGUGAUUCUAGUUCCGACAAUGCAGUAAUAACCGACGUAAUCUAACUUAACAAUUUCACAACUACCUUAUACACACGUGUAAAGGGAUGAGGAAUAUGUACAUAAAAAAAUAUGAAUGGGUGAUGGUAUAGAAUGGCAUAGGCAAGAUGCAGUAGAUGGUUUCGAGUACAGUAUAUACAUACGAGAUGAGUAAUGUAGGGUAUGCAAACAUUAAGUGGCAUUGUUUUAAGUGGCUAGUGAUUCAUAUAUUUUUCCAUUAUUAAAGUGGCUAGAGAUUAGUCAGUAUGUUGGCAGCAGCCACUCAAUGUUAGUGGUGGCUGUUUAACAGUCUGAUGGCCUUGAGAUAGAAGCUGUUUUUCAGUCUCUCGGUCCCAGCUUUGAUGCACCUGUACUGACCUCGCCAUCUGGAUGAUAGCGGGGUGAACAGGCAGUGGCUCGGGUAGUUGUCCUUGAUGAUCUUUAUGGCCUUCCUGUGACAUCGGGUGGUGUAGGUGUCUUGGAGGGCAGGUAGUUUGCCCCCGGUGAUGCGUUGUGCAGACCUCACUACCUUCUGGAGAGCCUUACGGUUGAGGGCGGUGCAGUUGCCGUACCAGGCGGUGAUACAGCCCGACAGGAUGCUCUCGAUUUGUGCAUCUGUAGAAGUUUGAGUGCUUUUGGUGACGAGACAAAUUUCUUCAGCCUCCUGAGGUUGAAGAGGCGCUCCUGCGCCACCUUCACCACGCUGUCUGUCUGGGUGGACCAAUUCAGUUUGUGUGUGUGUGAACUCUUUCAAGACUGUUGGAAAAGCAUUCCUCAUGAAGCUGGAUGAGAGCAUGCCAAGUGUGUGCAAAGCUGUCAAGGCAAAGGGAGGCUACUUUGAAGAAUCUCAAAUAUAUAAUAUAUUUUGAUAUGUUUAACACCUUUUUUUUGGUUACUACAUGAUUCCAUAUGUGUUAUUUCAAAGUUUUGAUGUUUUCACUAUUAUUGUACAAUUUAGAAAAUAGUCCAAAUAAAGAAACCCAUGAAUGAGUGUCUCUGAACUUUUGACUGUGUGUGUUGCAGUGAUUCGUGGCAGGACGUGGAGAGUUGUGUGCGGUUCUCCUCCCAGCUGUGUGACCUGUCCGAGGCCUUCUCUAACUUCGAGGUGUACAACAUGAUCCGCCUGGGCCUCCACCAGGGCCCGGGGAGUCCAGCCUGGACAGAAAAUCUGGGGUUUGGCGUCCGUGAUUUCAACUUCAGCAGCCCCUCUGUCUUGGUCUCUCUGUCUGGAGAGAUGCUGGGAGUGGAGGUGCACUUACCUUGUUCUAGCAAAAGGGAGUGUCUUCCUCUGCAGAGUUGCUGUCCACUGUCAAAAUUUAUUGACCUCUGGGUCACCGUGACAGUAUAUGACCGGCAGAACCCCUCCGACUACAAGACGCAGAUUGGUUUGGUCCAGACGAUGGUGUAUGGGGCAGAGUUCUCAAACCUGGUCCCAGGACAUGACUACUGUGUCGUGGCUAACUUCUCCAUCAGUCCGGCCACCUUCCCCCAGGCCUCGUCUCCUCCCUCGGACCCCAGUUGUGUCCACCAUGCUGGCCCAGGACUAGGGUUGCAGCCAGUGUUGUUGGGGAUAGGAGUGUGUGCUGUACUCUUCUCUCCUCUCCUUGCUCUGGCUCUGUACCUGCUGAAACAAAAACGAGAUGUACCACACGUAAACAGACUCCCCAAGUCUCUAGCAUCUCUUCAGGCAUUCCUCCAGGACCUACCGGAGUCCCCUUCAGACCCUGUUGACCCCAGUGACAUUGUAGACGACCACCUCUCCAUCCUGUCCUCUUUCUCCAGCUGUGUCUACACCGAGGCCCAGGCCCCAAGCCUGGGUAAUGGGUACAACAGCAACCCCUUCCUCCGUGACUAUAGGUCAGGCAACAUGCACUGGAACACUGAGAGAAUGGAGCUGGACCUGAACUCAGGCAGCACCAUAUCCCUGCCAUGCUCCACUGUGCCUAUAGGCCUGCAUAUGAUCCAGUGCAGCUUUGAUUCACCUCGACAACCACAUCCAGGGCCCAAUGUGCCAGUUCUACCGUACCCUGGUUCUCUAUCUCUGUCAGAGGCCGUGGAGGGCCAGGUGGUCCCGUUGUGUUCUGUGAGGUUUGGGAGGGUGAGUGAUGGGUGUGAGAACCUUGAGGGACUACAGUGGUGUAACCUGUAGCAUGUUGCACUGCAGUACUCACAAUGCCAUGUUUAACAUAUUCCUAUGAACUCCACAGUGCUGAGAGGAGUUCAAAAACUUUAUUGACCAUUUUUGUUGAAAAUUGUAAUUUUUUUCCCUCAGCUUACAGACAUACAUUUUCAGUUCCAACAGGACUGUGGUAUGGUCCAGCACCUUACCAAGGUCAACCAUAACAGGGACAAUACUGGACAGUGCAAUCAUAAACACAUACACUCUUAGAAAAAAGGGUUUCAAAAGGGUUCUUCGGCUGUCCCCAUAGGAGAACCCUUUUCGGAACCAAAACUAUUCUUCCUGGAACCAAAAAGGGUUCUUCAAUGGGUUAUCCUAUGGGGACAGCCGACAAGGUUCUAGAUGGCACCUUUUUUUUUCUAAGGGGGGUUUAUUAUUCUGACUCCCCUUUAAAUUUACUUUGUCUACUGUGCCAAGUGUCUUUUCAGCUCUUUUUCUGUGUCAUAAUAGGUUGUUCUUCCCCCUCUCUCUGCCUUGCUUCUGACUCACUGUUGCCCCAUCCCAUCUCCGGCCUGACCCCCACUGUCUCUUACCCGUGUCUGACAUCUCAUUCUGGGGGAGGAGGGCAGAGGGUAGGGGAACAUCUCUCUCCUGCCUCUUGUUUCACUGGUGGUGCACUUUCCCCGGAACAUUAGAACAUUCGGGGGUAGAGACAGAGGAGACGUUGGAUGGGAAACAGUGAUUGGCCCUAUUGUUCUGGAAACCACAUAGCCUGUGUAUGGCUCAUAAUAAUAUCACUGUCUGGAGGAUUUUGAUUCAUGUAUUCAUGUUGUUGGUCUAAUAUUGGGGUUGGAUCAUGAGUCCAAACUAAGCAGUGUGUUUGCUUGCCAAUCAUAAAUGCUAAUUCUCAGGCAUCCAACAGGUAUCGCAUCUAACCUUGCACUUGGGUUUUUGGAGCAACUUUUAUGGGUUCUGCUGUAUUUGCAGUCAAUUCACCGGAAACCUGAUCCAAAAUGGUCGCUUUGUGGCUCACUCUUCACUGGUGUGUGCUGGCUAGCUCUGCAGCUGAGGUGGUGAAGUUGGAUUGGGGAUUUACGUGGUGUUUGACAGGCAGUAAAAAAUGUUGGGGGGGGCUUGCCUGUUAUGCAUGUUAUUUUGGCAUUAAAUGUCACAUCAGUUUGCAAACAAUGCAAUAAAAAUAAAUCAAUGAGUUAAUAAAGCCGCAUACAAACAAUGGUCUCGUUUUUGCUUUCUAAGGCAGCUCCAAAAUGCAGGUGUUUCAGCCUAGCUCAUUGCUUUCUUUGGUGGUGGGUCAGCCAGUAGAAAAUAUGAAGUGCGGGUUUUGGUAAUGUUCUCUAGUUGCGCCGUGAUUGGCUCAGUGUUCUGUCACUCAUAGGGACACUACGUCACCGCUAAGUCUAAGGGU